AGAAAAUAGAUACCCGGGUAGUCCCAGCCGUAAACGAUGCGCGUUAGGUGUAUCGAUGACCACGAGUCAUCGAGGUGCCGAAAGGGAAACCGUGAAACGCGCCGCCUGGGAAGUACGGUCGCAAGGCUGAAACUUAAAGGAAUUGGCGGGGAGCACCACAACAGGUGGAGCCUGCGGUUUAAAUCGGACUCAACGCCGGAAAUCUCACCGGAUAAGACAGCUGAAUGAUAGCCGGGCUGAAGACUCUGCUUGACUAGCUGAGAGGAGGUGCAUGGCCGUCGUCAGUUCGUACUGUGAAGCAUCCUGUUAAGUCAGGCAACGAGCGAGACCCACGCCAACAGUUGCCAGCAUGUCCUCCGGGAUGGUGGGGACACUGUUGGGACCGCCUCUGCUAAAGAGGAGGAAGGAAUGGGCAACGGUAGGUCAGCAUGCCCCGAAUUAUCCGGGCUACACGCGGGCUACAAUGGGCAGGACAAUGGGUUUCGACACCGAAAGGUGAAGGUAAUCUCUUAAACCUGCUCGUAGUUCGGAUUGCGGGUUGC
rnacentral:rRNA from 1 species